rnacentral:rRNA from 1 species
ACGGAAGGCAGCAGUGGGGAAUAUUGGGCAAUGGGCGAAAGCCUGACCCAGCAACGCCGCGUGAAGGAAGAAGGCCUUCGGGUUGUAAACUUCUUUUACCAGGGACGAAGAACGUGACGGUACCCGGAGAAAAAGCAACGGCUAACUACGUGCCAGCAGCCGCGGUAAUACGUAGGUUGCAAGCGUUGUCCGGAUUUACUGGGUGUAAAGGGCGUGUAGGCGGAGAAGCAAGUCAGAUGUGAAAUCCCGGGGCUCAACCCCGGAACUGCAUUUGAAACUGUUUCCCUUGAGUAUCGGAGAGGCAAGCGGAAUUCCUAGUGUAGCGGUGAAAUGCGUAGAUAUUAGGAGGAACACCAGUGGCGAAGGCGGCUUGCUGGACGACAACUGACGCUGAGGCGCGAAAGCGUGGGGAGCAAACAGGAUUAGAUACCCUGGUA